AUGAUGGCGAGGCCGGCGAGCUCUGCGGCCCCAGGGAGGGGGCUUUCAGCAGCCCUCUCGCAGCCCCCGGCAGCUUCGUCGGCCUCUGGUGCCGCUCUGCAGCGCUGGCUGGGGCCGGAACCAGGAGGGUAACUGGAUGAGCAAAUUGAGGACGCGGCGGCGAAGUAGAUCAUGCCGCCCAAAAUGGUUGCUAGUCCGAAGGGGCCCUCCGCUCGGUGCCGAGCGCGGGGAAGUGGGACCUCCGCUCCAAAGGGCUUCUCCCGCAGUUUCCUCGGCACGGCUUGCGUCGUCACCUCGACCCCACUCUGGAAUGAGUUUUGCUUCUCUAUCUCAAAGCCCUAACCAGAUCUUUAAACGGGAAAGUUUUAUACAAAGCAAUAUGGUAAUUUAUUCUCUUGUUCGUUAGACCAACAUUUCUAAGGAGCCCUUUUCCAUACUGGAUGCUGUUGUGGGUGCUCCGAAGUGCACCUGUUAGCAAACCAAAAAAUAAAAAAUAAGUUUAAUAAAAAAUUAA
rnacentral:lncRNA from 1 species